UACGUAGGCAGCGAGCGUUGUUCGGAGUUACUGGGCGUAAAGAGUGCGUAGGCGGUUUUCUAAGUUUGGUGUGAAAUCUCCCGGCUUAACUGGGAGGGUGCGCCGAAGACUGGAAGGCUAGAGUAUGGGAGAGGUAAGCGGAAUUCCUGGUGUAGCGGUGAAAUGCGUAGAUAUCAGGAGGAACACCUGCGGUGUAGACGGCUUACUGGACCAUAACUGACGCUGAGGCACGAAAGCGUGGGUAGCAAACGGG
rnacentral:rRNA from 1 species